rnacentral:rRNA from 1 species
AGUGAACGCUGGCGGUAGGCCUAACACAUGCAAGUCGAACGGCAGCACAGUAAGAGCUUGCUCUUACGGGUGGCGAGUGGCGGACGGGUGAGGAAUACAUCGGAAUCUACUUUUUCGUGGGGGAUAACGUAGGGAAACUUACGCUAAUACCGCAUACGACCUACGGGUGAAAGCAGGGGAUCUUCGGACCUUGCGCGAUUGAAUGAGCCGAUGUCGGAUUAGCUAGUUGGCGGGGUAAAGGCCCACCAAGGCGAUGAUCCGUAGCUGGUCUGAGAGGAUGAUCAGCCACACUGGAACUGAGACACGGUCCAGACUCCUACGGGAGGCAGCAGUGGGGAAUAUUGGACAAUGGGCGCAAGCCUGACCCAGCCAUACCGCGUGGGUGAAGAAGGCCUUCGGGUUGUAAAGCCCUUUUGUUGGGAAAGAAAAGCAGCAGGUUAAUACCCCGCUGUUCUGACGGUACCCAAAGAAUAAGCACCGGCUAACUUCGUG